rnacentral:lncRNA from 1 species
AACAGUUCUCCACAAUCAAUGCUUAACAGACAACGAGUUGGUUAUUUCCUCUCUAUUAUAUAUAGGGAGCACGCCAAUUCAGGUACACAGUUUCAAAUUUAAUUUUAACUCACUAUUCUCUCUCACAUGAUGACUCGAGGGUUGGAGUAUCAACCUUGCAUGUCAUCCCCCUCUCCGCACUAGAAGUUCAGGUCCGCCAUUACCUAUGUUUGAUCCUUACUCCAUUUCUGGUUUCAG